rnacentral:rRNA from 1 species
CUACCCGGGUAUCUAAUCCUGUUUGCUCCCCUAGCUUUCGUGCAUCAGCGUCAGUUAUGGUCCAGUGAGCCGCUUUCGCCACAGGUGUUCCUUCCGAUAUCUACGCAUUUCACCGCUACACCGGAAAUUCCACUCACCUCUCCCAUACUCAAGCCCGACAGUUUCUAAUGCAGACUCUGGGUUGAGCCCAGAGAUUUCACAUCAGACUUAUCAAACCGCCUACGCACCCUUUACGCCCAAUAAAUCCGAACAACGCUUGCCCCCCUCGUAUUACCGCGGCUGCUGGCAC